rnacentral:rRNA from 1 species
GACGAACGCUGGCGGCGUGCUUAACACAUGCAAGUCGAACGGAAAGGCCCUGCUUUUGUGGGGUGCUCGAGUGGCGAACGGGUGAGUAACCCGUGAGUAACCUGCCCUUGACUUUGGGAUAACUUCAGGAAACUGGGGCUAAUACCGGAUAGGAGCUCCUGCUGCAUGGUGGGGGUUGGAAAGUUUCGGCGGUUGGGGAUGGACUCGCGGCUUAUCGGCUUGUUGGUGGGGUAGUGGCUUACCAAGGCUUUGACGGGUAGCCGGCCUGAGAGGGUGAACGGCCACAUUGGGACUGAGAAACGGCCCAGACUCCUACGGGAGGCAGCAGGGGGGAAUGUUGAACAAUGGGUGGAGGCCUGAUGCAGCAACGCCGUGUGCGGGAUGACGGCCUUAGGGUUGAAAGCCGCAUUCGCUCAUGACGAAGCUUUGUGUGACGGUAGUGGGUAAAGAAGCACCGGCUAACUACGUG